rnacentral:lncRNA from 1 species
AAACUGAGCAAGUAGAGGGAUCCAUUACAUAAUGGUCAUCUUUCGUCAACUGUCCUUCUGAACAAAGACCUUUAUCCAUGUAAGAUAAAUGAACCAGCCAUUAAAAAUACCAACUGAUAAAAUCUAACUGUAUAAAAUAAAAAUCAGGAUAACAUAUUUUAUGAUAAACUUACUAAAUAUUUUAGAAAUUUCCUUUGUGUGAUCUUGGCGUGCCUUGAAAAAUAAGGAAGUCUAUAAUUACUUUGCUAUAUAACAGUUAAGUAAGCACCGUGUCUCCUAUUUGGUUAGUAAAUGUGUAACUAUUGUACUUCCAGUAUUCAUAUGUAGGCUGGUGUAUUUUGCUAAUUAAGAAAUACAAAGUGUCUAGGAAAGCAAUAUUUGCUUUUGCAGAGCACUUUCUAGUGGGUAACCAAAGAUGGCUAUACCCACAUGCUUUUGACUUCUGUGAUAGUCUAAUACAUGUGAUCCUUCAAGUGUCUUAAAAAUACCCAUGGAUUUACGUGAUCAUCUGGAAAGCCUUUGCCUUAAUGAUGAACAAUUUUUAAUAAUCUCAAAGUCAUAUAAAAUUUACUUUAUUCCUAGAACUUUUCAGAAUAUCUAUUUAUCUUUAUAACUUGUAUCUAAAAAUAUUUCAGUCAUGUAAGUUAAAAAUAAAAAUUUGGUAGUAUAUUAUUUAUUAAAUUAUUUUCUAGCUUUAUAUGAAAUGUGAAAGGUCUUCCCUCUGGUUUAAUUUACUUUAGGCUGCUAAUAACCAAUGUUACAAGUUAACAUUGGGCCUCUUAUUGGGAUGGUCACUGCUGCUUUGAUCACUUAAAGAUUGCUAGAUUGUCAGAGCUUUUACUAUUGAGGCUUCCAGGUUAAAUUUCUGCCUUUAUAUAAAGGUUUAUUCCUAAUGAAAUGUCCUUUUAUUUAUUUUUUUCACUUAAACAGUGAUUUUUGUAUCCACAACCAUCAUGGAGUAGAGUUUAUUUAUUUAAUAUUUUUCAUUAUUUUGAAAGUAAGCUGAAUUGCCUUAUUAGUUUUGAUUUUAUUUUGUAACAGGCUGAAAAACUAACUAGUUGUAGAAUAGUUUCAAAAUGACUACUCCAGAGAAUUGAAAGCUACAAAAUUAGUUGUCUUUAUCAUCUCUCUAAAUGGAGGAGACUCACAAUCAUUACUUUAAAACUUGUAACUUGACGAGUCCCACAAAUUAGUAAAACCCAAACCCAACAUUUGUUUAAGAAAAAGCACUUUUAGCUAAACUGAACAUUGCUUAUAAAAGUGUUGUCAAUUCUUAGCCAAACCCUGUUUUUGUUCUUUUCCAGCAUAAUUGAUGAUCAUUACUUUCUAUUCUCUUAAGGAACACUUGAAUAUAAAAUUAAAAUUCAUCCUUAAAGAUUAUUUUUAACAGCUUUUAGUACGGAGAGUUUGUAAAUAGUGUAAACUUUGUAAAUUGUAUUGAGUUAUCAGUGUUGAUAAUUCUUGCUUUUAUAACAUUGUAAAAUACUAGCAAAGAUCUUGUUAUUUUUAAUAGUUUUUAAAAGAUUUUUAAGUUUAAAAAAAAAUUCCUAUUUGGUCUAUAUUCCCUGUUGGGAAUGUAUCAUUUGAAACACUAACUAAUUUCUGUAUUUUACAGCAGUUUCAUAGAUGUACCUUUUCAACUCAGUGGAGUUUGCAAAGAGAAAUGUCAUUUCUCCUUUUAAUUGAUGCACUUCUCAGUUAUGUAAGACUGACUGAAAUAGAAACUGAUCAUUUGUUGAUUCAACACAGAAUAGAUUCAGUAUGUAUUGGCUAAUUAAUUAUAUGUAUUUCUUUUCUGGUGCCUGUUUUUAACCAAUGUUUCUGUGUUAAAAGCUUGUAACUUCUUAAAUAAUGUAAUCAUGUUUCAAAUAGUUAUCUUCAGAAUGUUAUAUUUUCAUGUGAAAUCAAUUUCUUUUGGCUCAAAACAAUGAGAGAAACUCAAUUUUAAGCAGUAUAGCUGGUCUUUUCUUUGCAUUUAUGAACUGUGGUCCCCUUCUCCACAUUACUCAAUUUAUGGGAAACAUUUUAAAAAAAAAAUUAAAGCUCACAAAUAUU